GAGGGUAUAGCUCAAGUGGUAAGAGUGCUUGCUUAGCAUGCAUGAGGUACUGGGGAUUGAACCCAGGUUCAAUCCCCAGUACCUCCU
rnacentral:tRNA from 1 species